GGAUCUUCGUUGAUUUGAUGGAUCUGAGCAUUGCAAAUGGCGCAAGAAAGUAGGUAGCAAAGAUCUGGUCACCAUGCUCAAAUCAGUUUUAUGUUCCAUCUAUUGGGGAUAAGAUCGAUUUCUGCUUCAAUAUCAAUUGAAGACAGAAAGUAAUAGAAGAGGAUGUAGAGAAUUAGUGUAGGUUAGUCGGUUCUUGUGUUGAAUUCAGGGUUGAUUUACUUGUGAUGGCGUUAAUUGAUGAAAUCAGCUACCUUGAGACAAUGAGAGAAGAUGUUCCCGUUCAUGUAUUUCCAUCUUAUUGGUGGCAAGAUGGAAGGCAUGAAUCAUAUGGCUUUCUGAUACCUUCUUCAAAGGAUGAAAGAAGUCCUUGAAAGGUUUCUAAAUCAGUGUAAAAUCUAUAACCAGCAAAAUAAUUGAGAUUAUUCUUCAAAGACAUGGCAUUGUGAUAUCCAUUUUAUCUAAACUAGUCCUUUUCUUUUCUUCCCUAUCAAUCCCCAAAUUGUCUCCAUGGACACACAGCACAUAUUCUCAACACAUAACCCUUUAAACUAAUUGAUUCAUUUUGCAAGAUUACUAAGACAUUAUGCUAAGAGUAUUGUGUUUCUAGAUUAUGUUAGAACAUGUUUUGGGCAGAAAAUAUUUUGAUUACUUUUGCCACUUGCUUUUGCAAUUUCAGAAUAUCUCAUCUAGACUUUCUAGAUUUUGAUUAUUUCUCCAUCUGGUCUGGAUUGUAUUAUCCCAUUAGAUAAAAGAUUAACAUUACAUACUCAGACCAAUUCAAUAAAACUGUAGAAACAACUUCUGGAAAACAAUAAACUGAUUAGAUGUUCACAUGAACCAUCCUUCAAAAAUGUUCAGUUUGAUGAAGUAAAUCUUGGGUGAUUGACUUGUCAUGCCUAAAUUUGGUCAUCCUUUGAAGUCCCUAAAUUUGUAUCAUGAAUACAAGGAAGGUCAGAUGUCACACUCCAAGGGUCCAUUUUUGAGUUUCAAAAUUGGAAUAGUUGUUGGGAUGUAGCAACCUUGUGGCUGUGCCAAGCCUUGCCUUGUAUUCAUGAUACUUUCUUCUGUGUCCACUUAUGUAAGAUGUUUUCACUAUAACGUGUUGCAUGCAAAGACUAGCUUUUAAAUACCGAAUGAUAAAUUUGGAUUCACACUCCAAGGGUCCAUUUUUGCAUUUCAAAAUUGGAAUAGUUGUUGGGAUGUAGCAACCUUNNNNNNNNNNNNNNNNNNNNCCUCUGUGUCGACUUAUGUAAGAUCACUAUAACAUGUUGUGGCAAAGACUAGCUUUUAAAUACCGUAUGAUAAAUUUGGAUUCACACUCCCAAGGGUCCAUUUUGCGUUUCAAACUUGGAAUAGUUGUUGGGAUGUAGCAACCUUGUGGCUGUGCCAAGCCUUGCCUUGUAUUCAUGAUACUUUCUUCUGUGUCGACUUAUGUAAUAUGUUUUCACUAUAACAUGUAGUUUGCUAAGACUAGCUUUUAAAUACAGAAUGAUAAAUUUGGAUUCUUGACCAGAUGUUUCAUUCUUUAGGUCAUGUGUAUCAAGAUGAACAAAAAUUGAUAAUAUCUUUAGCUUCUUAAUUUCAAAAUGUUCUAUAUGGAUAUGCUUUUAAUUUUUCAUCUUUGAAACCACAUAAUUCAUCAAGGGAAGCAAGCUAUCUUCAUACUCUGAUGAUCUUAUCUCACAUCAAAAUUUUCUUUCUUCGUAUCCAAAAAAUGGACUUCUCUUGGUACAGG
rnacentral:lncRNA from 1 species